UACGUAGGGGGCAAGCGUUGUCCGGAAUCAUUGGGCGUAAAGCGCGUGUAGGCGGUUCGGUAAGUCUGCUGUGAAAGUCCAGGGCUCAACCCUGGGAUGCCGGUGGAUACUGUCGGACUAGAGUACGGAAGAGGCGAGUGGAAUUCCGGGUGUAGCGGUGGAAUGCGUAGAGAUCCGGAAGAACACCGGUGGCGAAGGCGGCCUGCUGGGCAGUAGCUGACACUGAGGCGCGACAGCGUGGGGAGCAAACAGG
rnacentral:rRNA from 1 species